UGCGUAGGCGGACUAAUAAGUCAGUGGUGAAAUCUCUCGGCUCAACCGGGAAACUGCCAUUGAUACUGUUAGUCUUGAGUUCGGUUGAGGUAGGCGGAAUGUGUAAUGUAGCGGUGAAAUGCUUAGAUAUUACACAGAACACCAAUUGCGUAGGCAGCUUACUAGACCGACACUGACGCUGAGGCACGAAAGCGUGGGUAGCGAACAGGAUUAGAUACCCGAGUAGUCC
rnacentral:rRNA from 1 species